rnacentral:rRNA from 1 species
UAGGGAAUCUUCCGCAAUGGGCGAAAGCCUGACGGAGCAACGCCGCGUGAGUGAUGAAGGUCUUCGGAUCGUAAAACUCUGUUAUUAGGGAAGAACAAAUGUGUAAGUAACUAUGCACGUCUUGACGGUACCUAAUCAGAAAGCCACGGCUAACUACGUGCCAGCAGCCGCGGUAAUACGUAGGUGGCAAGCGUUAUCCGGAAUUAUUGGGCGUAAAGCGCGCGUAGGCGGUUUUUUAAGUCUGAUGUGAAAGCCCACGGCUCAACCGUGGAGGGUCAUUGGAAACUGGAAAACUUGAGUGCAGAAGAGGAAAGUGGAAUUCCAUGUGUAGCGGUGAAAUGCGCAGAGAUAUGGAGGAACACCAGUGGCGAAGGCGACUUUCUGGUCUGUAACUGACGCCGAUGUGCGAAAGCGUGGGGAUCAAACAGG